CACGUAGGGACCAAGCGUUGUCCGGAUUCAUUGGGCGUAAAGAGCUCGUGAGGCGGCUCAGUAAGUCGCGUGUGAAACCUCCAGGCUCAACCUGGGGACGCCACCCGAUACUGCUGUGACUUGAGUCCGGUAGGGGAGCGUGGAAUUCCUGGUGUAGCGGUGAAAUGCGCAGAUAUCAGGAGGAAUACCGAUGGCGAAGGCAGGUCUCUGGGCUAUAACUGACGCUCAUGCACGAAAGCGUGGGGAGCAAACAGG
rnacentral:rRNA from 1 species